rnacentral:rRNA from 1 species
AAAAAGUUAAUUGUGAAAUUCAAUUUAAUUUGAAUUAAUUUUAUUAUUUUUAAAAUUUAUAAAUAAAAUAUUUUUUAGUUUUAUUAAAUGGGUAAGAAAGAAUUUUUUUAAUUAUAGUUUAUUAGUAUAGUAUUAGAAUUAAAUUUAAAUAUUAAAAAGAAUAAUUUAUUAUUAGUACCUUGUGUAUCAGGGUUUAUUAAAUAAAAAUUAAUAUUUUAAUUUUCUCGAUUUUAAAAGAGUUAAUUAUUUAUAAAUUUUAUUGUAAAAUAAAUAUUUAAAAUAAAUAAUUAGUAAUGAAACGUUAUUCGUUUUUAAAUAUAUCUAGUUUUUAAAGAAAAAAGUUUAAUUUUAUAUUAAUAAAUAUUUUUUAUAAUUUUUAAUUAAAAAAUUUUAUUAGUAUUAAAUUAUUAGGGAUUAGCUUAAUAAUUUAUUUCUAUAAGUUUAAUUUUAUAAAUAAAAAUUGUAGAAUUAGAAAUUUUCAUCAUAUAAUUUUUUAUAAUUAAUUUAUUGAAUAUAAAAAUUUAUAUUUAUUUUAGAUUUUUUAUUUAAAUAUUAAAAUUAAUUAAUAAUUUUAAUUAAUAAUGAUAAAAUUAGUAUAAUAUAUUGUAUAAUAAUUUUAAUUUUUUAUGUUAUAAAAAGGAAUUCGGCAAUAAUAUUUUUCGCCUGUUUAUUAAAAACAUGUCUUUUUGUUUAUAAUUUAAAGUCUAACCUGCCCAAUGAGGAGUUUAAUGGCCGCAGUAUUUUGACUGUGCAAAGGUAGCAUAAUCAUUAGUUUCUUAAUUAGAAACUAGAAUGAAAGGUUGAACGAGAAAAUAACUGUCUCUUUAUAAUUUUAUUAGAAUUUUAUUUUUAAGUUAAAAAGCUUAAAUUUAUUUAAAAGACGAGAAGACCCUAUAGAGUUUUAUAUUUAUAUUUAAAAUUUUAAUUUUGAAUUAUUUUAUAUUUUAAAAAUUAAAUAUUUAAUUGGGGUGAUUGAAAAAUUUAAUUAACUUUUUUUUAAUUUUUGAACAUUAAUUUAUGUUUUAUUGAUCCAUUAGUAAUGAUUAUAAGAAUAAAUUACCUUAGGGAUAACAGCGUAAUUUUUUUAAAGAGUUCUAAUCGAUAAAAAAGUUUGCGACCUCGAUGUUGGAUUAAAAAAAAUUUUUGGUGUAGAAGCUAAAAAAUUAGGUCUGUUCGACCUUUAAAAUUUUACAUGAUCUGAGUUUAAACCGGUGUGAGCCAGGUUGGUUUCUAUCUUUAAAUAUAUAAAAUAUUUUAGUACGAAAGGACCAAAUAUUUAUAAAAUUUAUUUUAUUUUGAAUAUUAUUAAUUAUUUUGGCAGAUUAGUGCAUUAAAUUUAGAAUUUAAUUAUAUAGUUUAUACUAUAAAUAAU